UACGUAGGGUGCAAGCGUUGUCCGGAAUUAUUGGGCGUAAAGAGCUCGUAGGCGGUCUGUCGCGUCGGCUGUGAAAACCCGGAGCUCAACUCCGGGCCUGCAGUCGAUACGGGCAGACUGGAGUUCGGCAGGGGAGACUGGAAUUCCUGGUGUAGCGGUGAAAUGCGUAGAUAUCAGGAGGAACACCCAUGGCGAAGGCAGCAAACUGGUCCGUAUCUGACGCUGAGGCGCGAAAGCGUGGGUAGCAAACAGG
rnacentral:rRNA from 1 species